GACGAACGCUGGCGGCGUGCUUAACACAUGCACGUCGAAGAUAGUGGCGAACAGGUGAGUAAUACGUGGGUAACCUGCCCUCCUUUUUGGGAUAAGCCUUGGAAACGGGGUCUAAUACCGACUAAAGGGGGCUGGGCUCGCGGCCUAUCAGCUUGUUGGUGGGGUGAUGGCCUACCAAGGCGGUGACGGGUAGCCGGCCUGAGAGGAGGAAAGGUCACAUUGGGACUUAGACACGGCCCAGACUCCUACGGGAGGCAGCAGUGGGGAAUCUUCCGCAAUGGACGAAAGUCGGACGGAGCAACGCCGCGUGAUUUAGAAGGCCUUCGGGUUGUAAAAAUCUUUCAGUACCAUAAGAAUAAGGUCCGGCUAAAUACGUGCCAGCAGCCGCGGUAAUAC
rnacentral:rRNA from 1 species